rnacentral:pre_miRNA from 13 species
UCUGAUCAAGAUAAAUUCACUCUAGUGUUUUAUGGCUUUUUAUUCCUAUGUGAUAGUAAUAAAGUCUCAUGUAGGGAUGGAAGCCAUGAAAUACAUUGUGAAAAAUCAUCAACUAAGCUG